GGCACACACACACACACACACACACACACACACACUUACUGUAAAUAUUGUGUUGUUUUUUAUUGUAAAUAGUGUGUACUUGUUGCCCUUGCACAUUCCUGCUGAGCAUUGCCACUUUCAUUUCACUGCACACCCUGUGUGUGUAGGUGACAAAUAAAACAUCUUGAAUCUUGAAUCUUGAAUCUUAAAAGCUAAACUGGAUAUAUAUUGCAGAUGUCCGUAAGUUAAUUAUUUUCUGGUCAAAAAGAACAUUUCAGAUAUCCACUGACAUUCUUCCUAGGAAGAAUUACCUCGCUUUUGCCAUUCAUGUGUUAUGGGCUUUUUAUUUUUAGAUAUCCAUAAUUGCAUUUUUUUUAAUAGUCUUACGAGGGGGAAAACUCACAUUUCACUCGUAUCGACGGGAAAACGGUAUUCGAAGCAACAUCGACCUUGGCUCAGGAGUACAUUGCGCACAGUCCAGUCUGACACUAGUGGCUUUGUUAGUCUGGUUAUAAACAAACAGAAUAUUAUUUUAAUCAUUUUGUCAUAGCUUAUUACUAAUGAAAUACAAGUUGGAUUUAGCGCUGUGACGCUGACAAAGGCAAGUGUAGGAUACUUUUUAAUUUGCCAGAACAUGUCAUAAGGACAAAUGCCUUCUUUCAAGUGUCAUAGUAAUCCCUUGGGUGAGAAUAAAAUGGUUAUGAGCAAUGUCCUGAAAAAUAUCUUAAAGUGGAUACUCAAAAUUGUAUUGUGGCUUCUUUUGCAGAGUGAGGACAUUGAUCUCAAGAGGGAGUGUGUCCUCUGUGUGUCUCCCUCAAUGAGGACAGCAACACUCUCAUCAAGGAGUACUUGAACGUCAACAGUGAGGAAGCUGAGCGAGAGAUCGCGCAGACCACCAUGGGCCUUUACAGGAUUAUCAAAGAAGGUGCUGAUAAAGAGGACGAGCCAAAGGACGUUGGAGUGGUGAUCGAAGGUGUGGAGCUGCUAUGCAAUCUGAGAGGCGUUGCCUUUGGACGUGCCAUGCUCUUUGGCCUAAUUUACACUCUCAACCUGAGCUAUCCCCGAGAACUCAAAUUCACUUUUGAGUUCAUCCAGAAAGUGUUGAUGAACUUGAAUGGAAAGAAGUUGUCCCCAAAGGUCCAAACACUUAAAAUCAAGAUGCUUCAAUGAGCUCACAUGGUCAGCACUGGAGAGUUGAGCUAGCCACAUUUUGGCGUGUUGGACAUUGAUAUAUUGACCUGGUAAGACUGUAAAGAAGCUAGUGACUUACUAGUUUGUGGUACUGUUGUCAGGUUCACUGGAAAAGCUGUUAUGUGUUCUAAUUGUUGCAUUGCCCAGGUUUAUCAAUACUGGUAUCCAUUUUAUUAAUGAUUAAUCCAUUUUGUAUUUUAUUAUUCAUCAUAAUCACAACUCUAAUUUUUAAGUUGUUGAUGUCAUAAUGCAUGGCUAGACUGGAUAUAUUGUAUACCUGUUUAACACUUCAUGACUAAAAUGUUGUGUUCUAAUUGUUCCAUUACCCAGGUUUACCAAUACUGGUAUCAGUUUUAUUAAUAAUUAAUCCAUUUUGUAUUACUAUUCAUCAUAAUGAUCAUAAUCACAACUCUAAUUUUUAAGUUGUUGGUGUCGUAUUGUGACUGUUUGGAUACCUGUUUAACACUUUUUUUUGGUAUUCGUCAAUAAAGCCUUCUGAAUUGUC